rnacentral:rRNA from 1 species
UACGAGGGGGGCAAGCGUUGUUCGGAAUUAUUGGGCGUAAAGGACGCGUAGGCGGCGCCACAAGUCACUUGUGAAAACUCUGGGCUCAACUCAGAGCCUGCAAGCGAAACUGUGGUGCUGGAGUAUGGAAGAGGUGCGUGGAAUUCCCAGUAUAGCGGUGAAAUGCGUAGAUAUCGGAAGGAACACCUGUGGCGAAAGCGGCGCACUGGACCAUAACUGACGCUGAGGCGCGAAAGCUAGGGAAGCAAACAGG